CACGCCGGAGGCCUGGCCUGUGGAUGAGAUUGUUCCUUAUUUCCCCAGCUUCAGCACCACAGAAGAGACCAGAGUCUACCUUGCCAGCUCCUCUAGCACCGACCACGUGCCAAUUCAUGUCCUGAAUGCUCACUUCACUUCUUCACCUUGCUUCACUUCACUUACUGCACGGGAACAGAAAAGCCUAGAGAGGAUGGAUUACCUGUGCGGUUGCCUCCCUCUGCAGAGUGGGCGUGUCUCAGGAGCUUCUCUUCUUCUCCAGCCCAGUGCGGCCUCGUGUCAUCCAUAGGACCCACCGGCAGAGGGCAGGGCCUGCGAGUGGGGCCAGCCUCCUGGUGACUCUCGCCUCCUCUUUUCCAGCGGACGCUACCAGAGGACGAAGGUCUGACUCUGGCCAACGGCCCAGAAUUUCUGGCCCAGUUUUGCCUGAGGAAGCCAACUGUGCAGGAGGUCAGGAUCCCGGUAGGGUGAGAGUGGGAAAGUUAACAUUCCCAAGAGACUCCAAGCAACAGGAUUUCCUGACCUGGGACUAUUACCUUUCUCACAUUACAUGGCCAGAUUUACUUCCUGCUAUUAUUAAAAGUACGAAAAAGAUGAAGAUAUGUGUUUAAUGGAAACAAGGGCAAGAGUUUGCCUGACUGGACUUUGAGGAGGCUGUAGGAUCAUGGCGCUAACGGCAUUUGGAGGGCUGGGAAGGGACUCUAGCCCUGGCUUUACCUGCCUUUGUCAUCAGCUGGAGCAAGCAACUCCGCAACCUCGGAGCCUCAGUUUCCUUUUCUGUAAAAGGCGGGGAGGGUGGGUGGUAAGUGCAAUGCUGAAUCAGAACUCAUAGAGCUGCUGGGUGGACAUGUGAAGUAAAAGAGGAGACAGCUUUUGCUCCUGAAGGAUGCCAUUUGCGUUUUCCUCAUCAGUUUGAUCUCCUCCAAUCAUCCAGCACCUCCAUCUGACCUUCUCAGCUGAGAGGUCCUCAGUGUUUCUGUGGCCUCCAGGAGAAAGGUCCCCCUCCCCGGCUGAGGCCAGGCUGAUGGCAGGCUGCACGGCCAGCCUUCCACAGUCACCUGAAGGAUACAGAAAAGGAAGAGCUGGAGGCUUCUAGCAAGCUGCCGAACUGUGUCCUCCAGCUGCGCCCAGCCCCCUGGAGGUAGCGCCGGAGCACGUGGUGGUGGCUAUGUAGGAAGGCCCCUUUCGAGCCGCCCUAUACUGUCUUUGGGAUCUGCUUUUUACUGCCACAGCCUAUGUGCUCCUGAUUCUUCUCUCAAUCCCUGGAUGGAAACCGGCCUCUGAUACUUGGCUCUGCUUCCUUGGAGGAGCUACUUAACCAUUCAGUCCUCUCUGCAGUUAGCUAUUAAGGUUGUCCUGCGAACUGAAGCAGAGAGUCCCCGCAAAGGGUGCAGAGUAGGGCACCCACAGAGGAGCCUCUAAAGCACUUUCCAUGAGGUGGAUGGCUUCUCCUCCCCAAGGGACCCAGGAAGGAAAGGAGAGCUGCUUCUGCCUCCCCAGCAGAGAGGGACCUUCCCAGAGAAGAUGUCUUGCGCCUCACCUGAUCUUGUUCUGAGAGUAGGAGACUGGAAGAGAAGCGUUCAACUCCCCAAACACAGCUGGGUUUGUUUCGUUUAAUCUCCCAGCCUGUUUUUCUGCUGUCCUCCUGAAGAAUGUUUAAUCUCACAGUUAAAACCACCAAAAGCGACUUUUUUCCCCCUCAACUGCUCAGUAACACAUGACCGUGCAAAUUCGUUUGGCCCCAGCGCCACAAGUCAUAAAAGGCAUCUAGUGGGCGGCAUGAGUCAAUCAGGCCUUUGGACGGUGACGUAACCACAGCUUGUCAGUUUCCCCAUCCAGGCAGCCCCAAUCCCCCAGUGCAGACAUCUGGAGCCAGGGAUUGACAAGUGGAUUCCAGGAUUGGGCCCUGCCUCCCGCCCUGUUCAGUUCCAGCCCAGCCACGGCCGCCGCCAACGAGGACACGCACUGUCUUUCUGCACAUUCCCACGUACACACACCCCCGCAGCCCCCUCUCCACUCAUUCCUGCAUUUCCGGCAAUGUGAAUUCUGACAGCUCGGGCAGUGUCAGCCUCUCCGGUGCAUUCCUCACCACACCACCUCACUGCUCCCGAGCCUGCUGACAGCACUCCCCGCCAUACCUACCAAGCCGAAGGUGCAAGGAACCUCUUGAUCCCCACUGUGUCUUUGUCCCAGGGCCACAGCAAAAUAGCACCCCCCUCCCCCACACACCCUCUAGCCUAAUUUAUUAGACUUUUAAACACAUUUAUUUACUGUGAUAUCUACACCACACCAAACAUCUGGAGGGAAACCGGGAGACAAUCCACCAGGAAUUUAAAUGUUUGUUCUGCAAUGUAACUUUGAAAACCGAACCAGGAAAACUUGACAUCUUUAGCCAAUUGCUUGGUGUGAAAUCCAAUGGGAUAUUGGGGCCUGCAAAGGAGAAGAGGAGAUCCGCACAAACCCGUUCCUGGCUGCUGCAUUCACCUCCAGCGUUUGUGAUGCCCCAGAGCACAGAACUCCAGGGAGCCCACGAUGCAGGAGAGUUCAGCGACAUUCACUGAGUACAAGAGAAGUGAGUUACUCCUGCAGCUGAGCACGGGGGGCGCUGGCAACUGCGAAAGGUCUCGCUUUCCAUUCCAACCAGAACUUGCUCCUAGCGCAGACAGAAGGCCGUGGCAUUCUGAGAAACACACAUGAUGAAGGAGCCCUGUCAUAUCCUCUCUUCCUUGCAUCGCUUCCCCGUGUGAGCAACCACUUGUGCUGGAAAUGAUGACAAGGAAGGACCGGGAAAGACAGGGCCACCCGCAGUUCCUUUUCCUUGACGUCUUUCCUUCCUCAUCAGCGAGCUGAGGUGGAGAGCGUUGGUAGAAUGUGUGCAUAAUAAGAAGUGAAAUAAAAACAGUCGAGUUAGUAUUCUACUGUUUCCACUGUUCUGGUGAGAACAAAACACAUAUGCUGUAUAUGCUUUGAAAUACAAAGUGUGUAAUUUUAGUGAUUCUGCAUAGGAGUUAAAUGUUUUUAUAUUUGCAUUUAAAACUGCCAUUGUAUACUAUAAAGAUAAAGAGUAAAAUGUAUUCUAAUAGUUUAACUUUACUAAUAAUUUAGUUUUUACUUUUAUUUACCUAGAGUAACAUUAAAUAGCAAACAAACAAAACAAACAUCACAAGUUGAGAGAGAAACCACAAAAGAAAGAAAAAAGCUUUAUAUGUUAGUACCUUGAGAGGCACUUUUUCCUGCUUUUUGAGUAGGGAUUCAUGUUUUCCCGUUGCACUGGGCCUCACAAAUAAUGUAGCCAGCCCUGCCUUCAAAGUGCAUUCAAGUGACUCCCCCUUCAUAAUCACUUAAGCCUGGAGCCACGGCCUUGCCCCUGAACACGUAGAACAGUCAUGGCCGUACCAACCGUGAGCCAUUCUUGCCUCUCUCUCUUUUGUCUUAUUCUCUUGUCAUCUGUCCACCUCGCAGGACUGUUGGGAGGCACCAAUGGACUUUGCAACUGGAGAUCUCCCAACUGGACCAUGUCACUGUUAUGUUUAAUUUGCACUGUGCACAGUAGGUACCCAGUCAACGUUUGUCGAAUUCCAUGGACUGGGCCUUAUACCUCCGAGGAUUUUUCACAGCAGUAGCAUGUGCACAUGCACAGAACGAGAACACAACCAAUGCUUGUUUGCUGGUGAAGACCUGGUCUCAGUAUUUUGCCCAGGAAACCCUUUCUUCAUGGACAGCAUGAGGCAAGCUAUGGCCCUUGCUGUGGUCUCAGUGGUUCAGCACGGAAGAUGAAGAUGACGGGCAGUCUCAGAAUAUUAGCUUUAGAAGGGACUUUGGAUCCUUUUGAUUUUGGUAGGUGAAAUACUUUUUAAAAAUAAAGAAAACGGACUUUGGACAAAUGCUCUCAUUUUGUAAAUGAAAAAGUAGAGACAGGAAGAGUAACUGAUUUGUCCAAAAUCAAACAAAGUAAAUUGUGUUGCAUCCUCUCCAUCCGUAACCACCUUCGCCUUCCCUAACUGCUCCAUGUGGCCUGGGAAAGUCCACUUCACCUCGUCUUAGAGGUGGGCUUCUGAUUCUAGCUAAGCCAACCCCCA
rnacentral:lncRNA from 10 species